rnacentral:rRNA from 1 species
GCCAGACUCCUACGGGAGGCAGCAGUGGGGAAUAUUGCACAAUGGGGGAAACCCUGAUGCAGCGACGCCGCGUGAGUGAAGAAGUAUUUCGGUAUGUAAAGCUCUAUCAGCAGGAACGAGACAAGACGGUACCUGACUAAGAAGCCCCGGCUAACUACGUGCCAGCAGCCGCGGUAAUACGUAGGGGGCAAGCGUUAUCCGGAAUCACUGGGUGUAAAGGGAGCGUAGACGGCUGUGCAAGCCUGAAGUGAAAGGCGGGGGCCCAACCCCUGGACUGCUUUGGGAACUGUACGGCUGGAGUGCAGGAGAGGUAAGUGGAAUUCCUAGUGUAGCGGUGAAAUGCGUAGAUAUUAGGAGGAACACCAGUGGCGAAGGCGGCUUACUGGACUGUAACUGACGUUGAGUCUCGAAAGCGUGGGGAGCAAACAGGAUUAGAUCCCCUCGUA